rnacentral:rRNA from 1 species
AUGAAGGCCCUCGGCGCGCACGCCUCCGAUCUGCUCCGCGGCCCGCACCUCGUCCGCGCCACCGUGCUCUUCUUCGCCUGCGCCGCCUCCUUCCUCGUCGGCUACCGCUGGUCCGACGCCUCCGCGAGCCCCCUCUUCUUCUCGUCCGUCUUCUCCCCGGCGUCCCCCUCCUCCCGCAUAUCGUCUCGCUCCCCUUCCGUCGCCAUCUCGCCUAACUCCAACAUCUCCUUCGACCCAUCCCUAAUCCCCGCCCCCGCAGCUGCUCCGCCCGCUUCGUCUACCCCCAAUGCCCCGCCGCCGCCUCCAGUGGCAUCUCCGCCGCCUCCAAUGCCAACUCCGUCGCCGCCGCCUCCAACGCCAACUCCGUCGCCACCACCGCCGCCUCCCCUCCCGCCCUCGCCCCCUCCCCCGCCCGUCCGCCUCGGCAUCGUCGGCGAGGACGGCGCUAUGCGGGACGACUUUGACAUCGGCGCCGUCGUCAACGAAACCGAUCUGGCCACCGACGAGGGCGCGCCGGAGGAGCUUGGCAACGCGGGCGCCGGCGGCGGCAACAGGGCCCGGAUUGGGAAGUUCCCUGCCUGCCCCGCGAGCAUGAGGGAGUACAUUCCCUGCCUCGACAACGACGAGGAGAUCAGGCGGCUGCCCUCCACGGAGCGUGGGGAGCGGUUCGAGCGGCACUGCCCGGCCAAGGACAAGGCCCUGAGCUGCCUCGUGCCAGCCCCCAAGGGGUAUAGGGCGCCCAUCCCCUGGCCUCGGAGCAGAGACGAGGUGUGGUUUAGCAAUGUACCUCAUACACGCUUGGUUGACGACAAAGGAGGGCAGAAUUGGAUUACCAAGGCUAAAGAUAAAUUUACAUUUCCUGGGGGAGGAACCCAGUUCAUACAUGGAGCAAGUCAAUACCUGGAUCAGAUAUCUCAGAUGGUACCAGAUAUUGCAUUUGGCUCUCGCACUAGAGUUGUUCUGGAUGUUGGCUGUGGUGUAGCAAGUUUUGGCGCAUACUUACUUUCACGUGACGUGUUGACAUUGUCCAUUGCCCCCAAAGAUGUUCAUGAGAAUCAGAUACAGUUUGCUCUUGAGCGUGGUGUUCCUGCAAUGGUGGCAGCAUUUGCAACACACAGACUAUUAUAUCCCAGUCAAGCAUUUGAGAUUAUCCAUUGUUCCCGCUGCAGAAUAAAUUGGACACGUGACGAUGGAAUCCUGCUCCUGGAGGUUAAUAGAAUGCUAAGAGCUGGUGGGUAUUUUGCUUGGGCAGCACAGCCUGUUUAUAAGCAUGAAGAGGCCCAGCAAGAGGCGUGGAAAGAGAUGGAGGACCUCACAACCCGACUUUGUUGGGAGCUUGUGAAGAAAGAGGGAUAUGUUGCUAUGUGGAGGAAGCCUGUAAAUAACUCGUGCUAUAUGAGCCGUGAUCCAGGGGUCAAACCUCCACUUUGUGAUACUGAUGAUAAUCCAGAUAAUGUCUGGUAUGUUGGUCUGAAAGCAUGUAUCAGUCGACUACCUGUGAAUAGUGACGGAUCAACUCCCUUUCCAUGGCCUGCACGCUUAAUGGAGCCUCCAAGGAGACUUCAAGGUGUUGAAAUGGACGCCUACUCAUCAAAGAAUGAGCUUUUCAAAGCAGAGACGAAAUUUUGGGAUGAUAUACUCGAAGGUUAUAUUCGUGUUUUCAAGUGGAAAAAGUUCAAACUCCGGAAUGUAAUGGACAUGAGGGCUGGAUUUGGAGGGUUUGCUGCUGCAUUGAUCGGUCGCAAGCUUGAUUGCUGGGUGAUGAAUGUUGUUCCUGUUACUGAGCCAAACACACUGCCUGUAAUUUAUGACCGGGGACUUCUUGGAGUGGCCCAUGACUGGUGUGAACCAUUUGACACAUAUCCAAGGACUUAUGAUCUGCUGCAUGCAUUCGGGCUAUUCUCAAAGGAGCAGAAAAGGUGUAACGCCUCAAUUAUCUUGCUUGAGAUGGAUCGGAUACUCAGACCUGGUGGUAGGGCGUAUAUCCGUGAUAAAAAGGAAACGAUAGUGGAGAUCAAGGAAAUAACAGACGCGAUGGGAUGGAGAUCCACCAUACGUGACACUGCUGAAGGCGCGUAUGCUAGCAGGAAGGUUUUGAUGUGUGACAAGCCGAUGGUGCGCUAG